rnacentral:rRNA from 1 species
UUUUCCUACGGGAGGCAGCAGUGGGGAAUAUUGCACAAUGGGCGAAAGCCUGAUGCAGCGACGCCGCGUGAAGGAUGAAGUAUUUCGGUAUGUAAACUUCUAUCAGCAGGGAAGAAAAUGACGGUACCUGACUAAGAAGCCCCGGCUAACUACGUGCCAGCAGCCGCGGUAAUACGUAGGGGGCAAGCGUUAUCCGGAUUUACUGGGUGUAAAGGGAGCGUAGACGGUCCUGCAAGCCAGAUGUGAAAGCCCGGGGCUCAACCCCGGGACUGCAUUUGGAACUGUAAGGCUAGAGUGUCGGAGAG